GCCGAUUGAAUCUAGUCAAUCGUUGUUGGGUAUGGGAGGAGGAAUAGGGGGCUAAGGAAUAUUGGCAUACAUCUGGGAUAUCUGUAGCUUUGCAUGGUUAGAGAAUUUGAGCUGGGAUUUGUGUAGCGGAGGAAAAGUGCGUGACAGAGGAUUUGGAUUUUGAUUUGGGUUUUGCGAAUCGAAAAAUGAGGAAAGAUCAAGGGUAAAAUAAAGAGGAGGAAAAAGGGAACGAAAGGAAGAGGAGGAAUGAGAAGAGAGUGAGAGUUGGUAGGGAAUCCAUGAAAAUGUAUUACAGAGAAAUGGUUGUGGUGGAUGAAAAUUUGAUGGACUUUUUGGAUGGUGGAGGCAUCGGUGACAUUUUGGGGUUGAGAUUGGUUUUUUGUGUAGAAACUAAAAAAUAUUUGUUAAUUCUUUUUUUUCUUUUUAUGGUCAAUAUUUUUUUGAAAUUAAUUGGGCUCACCAGCACAAUUGGUAUUGACUUGGCAUGUCCAUGUAGAAUAAUGACUUGUUGGAUUACAGAAACUUGCUAAUGAUUGCUAAAUAAAUUUUAAUAGCAUGUUCUGCAGAAUUUUAACUAUGAUGUCAUAUGAUACAAUUACUAAAGAUUAUAUGACAUAUGCCGUAUAUUUUUCAUUGGA
rnacentral:lncRNA from 1 species